AGAGAAUAGAUACCCAGGUAGUCCAUGCCGUAAACGAUGGAUGCUAGCUGUAUUCGGUAUCGACCCCGGAUGUAGCGAAGCUAACGCGUUAAGCAUCCCGCCUGUGGAGUACGGUCGCAAGACUAAAACAUAAAGGAAUUGACGGGGACCCGCACAAGCGGUGGAGCGUGUUGUUUAAUUCGAUGAUAAGCGAAGAACCUUACCCAGGCUUGACAUCCUUGGAAUUUCUCCGAAAGGAGAGAGUGCUUUUAGAGCCAAGUGACAGGUGUUGCAUGGCCGUCGUCAGCUCGUGUCGUGAGAUGUUUGGUUAAGUCCAUCAACGAGCGCAACCCUUAUGAUUAGUUGGAUUUUUCUAGUCAGACUGCCCUGGCAACAGGGAGGAAGGAGGGGAUGAUGUCAGGUCAGUAUUACCCUUACGCCUGGGGCUACAAACACGCUACAAUGGCCGGUACAAAGGGCAGCCAAGUCGCAAGACGGAGCAAAUCCCAUCAAAGCCGGUCCCAGUUCGGAUAGCAGGCUGAAACUCGCCUG
rnacentral:rRNA from 1 species